AAAGGAGAAGGGGGUUAAAGAACUCGCCUCAAGGCCAUAUGAUCCUCUCUUCACCACAAUUACUCACAAUGGAGAUGCAUGCAGAUAAAGUGCCCCGUUAAUCACUGUAAUAUAGCCACAGCCCUAAAGAGGAUCUCAGUAAUUUCUGUCUUCACCUCAAUGUCUUGUCCUCAAUGUAUCAUGUCUGAAAAUGCACAUCCAAUUGGUAGAUUCUCCUGAAUAUAUCGUUUCAUUCAACUAUGACACAACCCUUUAAGGCUACAGCUAAAAUUAAUGAAAGUAAGGGUAGGACAACUAAAUAUUACAUGCAGUGCUCACCCGUUAUAACGCACCCUGUUAUAGUACGGAAUCGAUUACAACACAGUAAGGUCGUGGCUCCCACUUCCCCCAUAAGGCAAUUUGACUCACAAACGUCUGGUGAACAUUCCAACUAAACUGUAAGAAACAUGGCAGACCGCAAAAAAUGAAAGUCGAUCUCUGUUAAAAUGAAACUUGAUGCGGUGGACAGAGUGAGAAAAGGUUAAACUCAAGCAGCAGUUUCUAAACAUAUAAAUGUUUCAGAAUCUACAUUGUGUGGCUGGCUGAAAGAGGAAGAAAAACCAAGAGGUUUUCUUGAUCAAACUGACUCCAAAAGAGGGCUGCUCAAGGAAAUAAAUGCACUGUGCUAAAGACACUGAAUUAGACAAUGCUUUAUUCACUUGGUUCGUGCAGGAAAGUCAACAGGGAGUCCCGAUCUUUGGCACAACAUUGCGAGCACAGGCAGAUAAAUUUAUCAGGGAGUUAGGAGGUCCACCUGAUUUUAAAGCAAGCAUUGGGUGGUUGCAACACUUUCAGAAGAGGCGUGCCAUCAGUCAGGUUUCAGAAGAGGCGUGCCAUCAGUCAGGUUUCAAAAGAGGCGUGCCAUCAGUCAGGUUUCAAGAGAGGCGUGCCAUCAGUCAGGUUUCAAAAGAGGCGUGCCAUCAGUCAGGUUUCAAAAGAGGCGUGCCAUCAGUCAGGUUUC